rnacentral:lncRNA from 1 species
GUGGGAGCAUGAAAUGUAGUACAUAUAUAGAUAGUUUUUUAUAGACCAUAGAACAAAUAAGCAAACAAAUUCAAAGGAAAUGUACAUGUAAGAUGAAUAAUAAAAAAAGAAGAGCCAUGGCCAGGGGCCCAAACUUGACAGCAUUUGGUGUUGAACAGGUUAAAUGUCUGCAUUGACAAUAAAUAUAGUCUUUGUUAGAGGUGAGCCAGGUCACCUUUCCCUUAAUCAGCCAUAUUAAAGGUAACCGCAUGUUUCUGGGCUGGGUCGAAAAAUAAAUGAACAUGACUUUGAAAAAUGCUAAAAUUUUAAGAUAAAAGAAAUACACCAAAUUGGGGAGACAUCUAUUAAAAUGUUUGAAUAUGAAGUUGACAAGAACUAAGCUUUUCAGAUAAUAUACAGACUAUUACAGUCAGCCUAAAGACUCUUUGCCUACUGAAAUGUUUGCU